GCCCGGAUGGCGAAAUUGGCAGACGCGGCGGACUUAAAAUCCGCUGUCCCUAUGGGACGUACAGGUUCAAGUCCUGUUCCGGGCA
rnacentral:tRNA from 1 species